UUACGGGAGGCAGCAGUAAGGAAUAUUGGUCAAUGGGCGAGAGCCUGAACCAGCCAUGCCGCGUGAAGGAAGAAGGCCUUAUGGGUCGUAAACUUCUUUUAAGAGGGAAAAAAUGUGUGUACGUGUACAUACUUGCUUGUACCUUUUGAAUAAGCAUCGGCUAACUCCGUGCCAGCAGCCGCGGUAAUACGGAGGAUGCGAGCGUUAUCCGGAUUCAUUGGGUUUAAAGGGUGCGCAGGCGGAUUAAUAAGUCAGUGGUGAAAUCCCAUAGCUCAACUAUGGAACUGCCAUUGAUACUGUUAAACUAGAGUAUAUUCGACGUAGGCGGAAUGCGACAUGUAGCGGUGAAAUGCUUAGAUAUGUCGCAGAACACCGAUUGCGAAGGCAGCUUACGAAACUAUAACUGACGCUCAUGCACGAAAGCGUGGGGAUCAAACAGGAUUAGAUACCCCAGUAGUCG
rnacentral:rRNA from 1 species